rnacentral:rRNA from 1 species
UACGAAGGGGGCUAGCGUUGUUCGGAAUUACUGGGCGUAAAGGGCGCGUAGGCGGCUCGGCAAGUUGGAUGUGAAAGCCCAGGGCUCAACCCUGGAAUUGCAUUCAAGACUGCCUUGCUUGAAUUCGGUAGAGGUUGGUGGAAUUCCCAGUGUAGAGGUGAAAAUUCGUAGAGAUUGGGAAGAACACCGGUGGCGAAGGCGGCCAAACUGGACCGACAUUGACGCUGAGGCGCGAAAAGCGUGGGGGAUCAAACAGG